GUGCCAGCCGCCGCGGUAAUACGUAGAGGGCAAGCGUUGUCCGGAAUUACUGGGCGUAAAGGGUACGCAGGCGGAUAUAUAAGUCAAAUGUGAAAGGCACCGGCUCAACCGGUGAGCGGCAUUUGAAACUGUAUAUCUUGAGUUCAGGAGAGGAGAGCGGAAUUCCUGGUGUAGCGGUGGAAUGCGUAGAUAUCAGGAAGAACACCAGUGGCGAAGGCGGCUCUCUGGCCUGAAACUGACGCUCAGGUACGAAAGCUGGGGGAGCGAACGGGAUUAGAUACCCCGGUAGUCCCAGCCGUAAACGAUGGACACUAGGUGUUGGGGGUUCGAAUCCUUCAGUGCCGAAGCAAACGCAUUAAGUGUCCCGCCUGGGGAGUACGGUCGCAAGACUGAAACUCAAAUAAAUUGACGG
rnacentral:rRNA from 1 species